AAAUUGUGACGGAAAUCGAAUGUGACAAUGAAAAAAUUGUGUUUGCCAUCUUGACUGCUACGAUAACAGUGACAGCCAUUCUGAUCACGUUUGGUUUGCUUUUGAAGAUGAUUACUGACCAUGAAAAGGCAUUGGGAGUGGAUGCUGAUGCAGAGUGCUUCACCACGGUCAUCUACCAGUGGAUACCAGAGGAGAUUGCUGAAGAGGAAGAUGGGGCAACAUCAAUCUACACCUGCCCUGGAGACAUUCUCUGAAGA